AGAGUUUGAUCCUGGCUCAGAUUGAACGCUGGCGGUAUGCUUAACACAUGCAAGUCGAACGGUAACAGGCAGAAGCUUGCUUUUGCGCUGACGAGUGGCGGACGGGUGAGUAACGCGUAGGUAUCUGCCUAGUAGUGGGGGACAACUUGGGGAAACCCAAGCUAAUACCGCAUACGCCCUUCGGGGGGGGGAGGGGGCCUCUUCUUGAAAGCUCUCGCUAUUAGAUGAGCCUGCGUUGGAUUAGCUUGUUGGUAGGGUAAAAGCCUACCAAGGCUACGAUCCAUAGCUGGUCUGAGAGGACGAUCAGCCACACUGGGACUGAGACACGGCCCAGACUUCUCCGGAAGGCAGCAGUAGGGAAUAUUGGACAAUGGGCGAAAGCCUGAUCCAGCAAUACCGCGUGUGUGAAGAAGGCCUGCGGGUUGUAAAGCACUUUCAGUAGGGAAUAAAAAGCUGAGCUUAAUACGCUCAGUCUUUGACGGUACCUAAAGAAGAAGCACCGGCUAACUCCGUGCCAGCAGCCGCGGUAAUACGGAGGGUGCGAGCGUUAAUCGGAAUUACUGGGCGUAAAGCGUGCGUAGGCGGUGUAGCAAGUUGGGUGUGAAAUCUCGGGGCUUAACCUCGAAACUGCAUUCAAAACUGCUAUGCUAGAGUAUGAUAGAGGAGAGGGGAAUUCCCGGUGUAGCAGUGAAAUGUUUUGAUAUCGGGAGGAACAUCAGUGGCGAAGGCGCCUCUCUGGAUCGAUACUGACGCUGAGGUACGAAAGCGUGGGUAGCAAACAGGAUUAGAUACCCUGGUAGUCCACGCCGUAAACGAUGAUAACUAGCUGUUGGGCUUUUGCUCAGUAGCGAAGCUAACGCGUUAAGUUAAGUUAUCCUCCUGUGGAUUACGGCCGCAAGGUUAAAACUCAAAGGAAUUGACGGGGGCCCGCACAAGCGGUGGAUCAUGUGGCUUAAUUCGAUGCAACGCGAAAAACCUUACCUGGUCUUGACAUCCUGCGAACUUAUCUGAGAAGAUUUGGUGCCUUCGGGAGCGCAGAGACAGGUGUUGCAUGGCUGUCGUCAGCUCGUGUCGUGAGAUGUUGGGUUAAGUCCCGCAACGAGCGCAACCCUUGCCCUUAGUUGCCAGAUUUUAGGUGGGAACUCUAAGGGGACUGCCGGUGACAAACCGGAGGAAGGCGGGGACGACGUCAAGUCAUCAUGGCCCUUAUGGCCAGGGCUACACACGUACUACAAUGGCCGAUACAAAGGGCAGCCACAUGGCAACAUGGAGCGAAUCCUUAAAAGCCGUGCGCAGGCCGGAUUGGAGGCGGCAACUCGACUCCGUGAAGUUGGAAUCGCUAGUAAUCGUGGAUCAGCACGCCACGGUGAAUACGUUCUCGGGCCUUGUACACACCGCCCGUCACACCACGGGAGUUGGUUGUACCAGAAGCAGUUGGGCGAACCUUUUUUCGAAUUGGAGGACGAUUACCACGGUAUGGUUCAUGACUGGGGUGAAGUCGUAACAAGGUAACC
rnacentral:rRNA from 1 species